rnacentral:rRNA from 2 species
AACGAACGCUGGCGGCAGGCUUAACACAUGCAAGUCGAGCGCCCCGCAAGGGGAGCGGCAGGCGGGUGAGUAACGCGUGGGAAUCUACCCAUCUCUACGGAAUAACGCAUGGAAACGUGUGCUAAUACCGUAUACGUCCUUCGGGAGAAAGAUUUAUCGGAGAUGGAUGAGCCCGCGUUGGAUUAGCUAGUUGGUGGGGUAAAGGCCUACCAAGGCGACGAUCCAUAGCUGGUCUGAGAGGAUGAUCAGCCACACUGGGACUGAGACACGGCCCAGACUCCUACGGGAGGCAGCAGUGGGGAAUAUUGGACAAUGGGCGCAAGCCUGAUCCAGCCAUGCCGCGUGAGUGAUGAAGGCCCUAGGGUUGUAAAGCUCUUUCACCGGUGAAGAUAAUGACGGUAACCGGAGAAGAAGCCCCGUCUAACUUCGUGCCAGCCGCCGCGGUAA